CGGCUUGCAUAGAGACUCCUGCGCAGAAACCAAAAGAGAAAAAAAAAAAAAAAAAAAAAAA
rnacentral:ribozyme from 1 species